rnacentral:rRNA from 1 species
AGUGAACGCUGGCGGUAGGCCUAACACAUGCAAGUCGAACGGCAGCACAGUAAGAGCUUGCUCUUACGGGUGGCGAGUGGCGGACGGGUGAGGAAUACAUCGGAAUCUACUUUUUCGUGGGUGAUAACGUAGGGAAACUUACGCUACUACCGCAUACGACCUACGGGUGAAAGCAGGGGAUCUUCGGACCUUGCGCGAUUGAAUUAGCCGAUGUCGGAUUAGCUAGUUGGCGGGGUAAAGGCCCACCAAGGCGACGAUCCGUAGCUGGUCUGAGAGGAUGAUCAGCCACACUGGAACUGAGACACGGUCCAGACUCCUACGGGAGGCAGCAGUGGGGAAUAUUGGACAAUGGGCGCAAGCCUGAUCCAGCCAUACCGCGUGGGUGAAGAAGGCCUUCGGGUUGUAAAGCCCUUUUGUUGGGAAAGAAAAGCAGCAGGUUAAUACCCCGCUGUUCUGACGGUACCCAAAGAAUAAGCACCGGCUAACUUCGUG